rnacentral:tRNA from 1 species
GGGGUUGUAGCUCAGUGGUAGAGCGCUCGCCUCACACGUGGGAGACACUGGGUUCAAUCCUCAGCACCACA